GUCGAGCGAACAGAUGAAGUGCUUGCACUUCUGACGUUAGCGGCGAACGGGUGAGUAACACGUAAGGAAUCUACCUAUAAGCGGGGGAUAACAUUCGGAAACGGGUGCUAAUACCGCAUAAUAUCUUCUUCCGCAUGGAAGAAGAUUGAAAGACGGCUCUGCUGUCACUUAUAGAUGACCUUGCGGUGCAUUAGUUAGUUGGUGGGGUAACGGCCUACCAAGACGAUGAUGCAUAGCCGACCUGAGAGGGUGAUCGGCCACAUUGGGACUGAGACACGGCCCAAACUCCUACGGGAGGCAGCAGUAGGGAAUCUUCCGCAAUGGGCGAAAGCCUGACGGAGCAAUGCCGCGUGAGUGAAGAAGGCCUUCGGGUCGUAAAACUCUGUUAUAAGAGAAGAACAAAUUGUAGAGUAACUGCUACAGUCUUGACGGUAUCUUAUCAGAAAGCCACGGCUAACUACGUGCCAGCAGCCGCGGUAAUACGUAGGUGGCAAGCGUUGUCCGGAUUUAUUGGGCGUAAAGGGAGCGCAGGUGGUUUCUUAAGUCUGAUGUGAAAGCCCACGGCUUAACCGUGGAGGGUCAUUGGAAACUGGGAAACUUGAGUACAGAAGAGGAAUGUGGAACUCCAUGUGUAGCGGUGGAAUGCGUAGAUAUAUGGAAGAACACCAGUGGCGAAGGCGACAUUCUGGUCUGUUACUGACACUGAGGCUCGAAAGCGUGGGGAGCAAACAGGAUUAGAUACCCUGGUAGUCCACGCCGUAAACGAUGAGUGCUAGGUGUUGGAGGGUUUCCGCCCUUCAGUGCCGCAGUUAACGCAUUAAGCACUCCGCCU
rnacentral:rRNA from 1 species